ensembl:snoRNA SNORA70 Small nucleolar RNA SNORA70
CUGCAGCCAAUUAAGCCGACCAACCCUACAGCGCCAGUGUGGGCUUGGUGUGCAAUGGUUGCAGACAUGAAUUCCCUGGUUGUGUGCGUACCUUGUUUUCCAUGCAAGGUAUUCUAAGGGACCUCGGAAACACUU